UACGGAGGAGGCAAGCGUUAUCCGGAAUUAUUGGGCGUAAAGCGUCCGUAGGUGGUUUAGUAAGUCUGCUGUUAAAGCGCGGGGCUUAACUCCGUAUCGGCAGUGGAAACUACUAGACUAGAGUGUGGUAGGGUAGAGGGAAUUCCCAGUGUAGCGGUGAAAUGCGCAGAUAUUGGGAAGAACACCGGUGGCGAAGGCGCUCUACUGGGCCAUAACUGACACUGAUGGACGAAAGCUAGGGGAGCGAACAGG
rnacentral:rRNA from 1 species